rnacentral:rRNA from 1 species
CAGUCGCCGCGGGAAUACGGAGGGUGCAAGCGUUAAUCGGAAUUACUGGGCGUAAAGCGCACGCAGGCGGUCUGACAAGUCAGAUGUGAAAUCCCCGGGCUUAACCUGGGAACUGCAUUUGAAACUGUCAGGCUGGAGUCUUGUAGAGGGGGGUGGAAUUCCAGGUGUAGCGAUGAAAUGCGUAGAGAUCUGGAGGAAUACCGGUGGCGAAGGCGGCCCCCUGGACAAAGACUGACGCUCAGGUGCGAAAGCGUGGGGAGCAAACAGGAUUAGAUACCCCGGUAGUCCCUGUCUCUUAUAC